CGUGUCGUGAGAUGUUGGGUUAAGUCCCGCAACGAGCGCAACCCUUAUUACUAGUUGCCAGCAUUUAGUUGGGCACUCUAGUGAGACUGCCGGUGACAAACCGGAGGAAGGUGGGGAUGACGUCAAAUCAUCAUGCCCCUUAUGACCUGGGCUACACACGUGCUACAAUGGCGUAUACAACGAGUUGCCAACCCGCGAGGGUGAGCUAAUCUCUUAAAGUACGUCUCAGUUCGGAUUGUAGGCUGCAACUCGCCUACAUGAAGUCGGAAUCGCUAGUAAUCGCGGAUCAGCACGCCGCGGUGAAUACGUUUCCGGGUCUUGUACACACCGCCCGUCACACCAUGAGAGUUUGUAACACCCAAAGCCGGUGGGGUAACCUUCGGGAGCCAGCCGUCUAAGGUGGGACAGAUGAUUAGGGU
rnacentral:rRNA from 1 species